GACGAACGCUGGCGGCGUGCUUAACACAUGCAAGUCGAACGGAAAGGCCCUGCUUUUGUGGGGUGCUCGAGUGGCGAACGGGUGAGUAACACGUGAGUAACCUGCCCUUGACUUUGGGAUAACUUCAGGAAACUGGGGCUAAUACCGGAUAGGAGCUCCUGCUGCAUGGUGGGGGUUGGAAAGUUUCGGCGGUUGGGGAUGGACUCGCGGCUUAUCAGCUUGUUGGUGGGGUAGUGGCUUACCAAGGCUUUGACGGGUAGCCGGCCUGAGAGGGUGACCGGCCACAUUGGGACUGAGAUACGGCCCAGACUCCUACGGGAGGCAGCAGUGGGGAAUAUUGCACAAUGGGCGGAAGCCUGAUGCAGCAACGCCGCGUGCGGGAUGACGGCCUUCGGGUUGUAAACCGCUUUCGCCUGUGACGAAGCGUGAGUGACGGUAAUGGGUAAAGAAGCACCGGCUAACUACGUGCCAGCAGCCGCGGUGAUACGUAGGGUGCGAGCGUUGUCCGGAUUUAUUGGGCGUAAAGGGCUCGUAGGUGGUUGAUCGCGUCGGAAGUGUAAUCUUGGGACUUAACCCUGAGCGUGCUUUCGAUACGGGUUGACUUGAGGAAGGUAGGGGAGAAUGGAAUUCCUGGUGGAGCGGUGGAAUGCGCAGAUAUCAGGAGGAACACCAGUGGCGAAGGCGGUUCUCUGGGCCUUUCCUGACGCUGAGGAGCGAAAGCGUGGGGAGCGAACAGGCUUAGAUACCCUGGUAGUCCACGCUGUAAACGGUGGGUACUAGGUGUGGGGUCCAUUCCACGGGUUCCGUGCCGUAGCUAACGCUUUAAGUACCCCGCCUGGGGAGUACGGCUGCAAGGCUAAAACUCAAAGGAAUUGACGGGGCCCCGCACAAGCGGCGGAGCAUGCGGAUUAAUUCGAUGCAACGCGUAGAACCUUACCUGGGUUUGACAUGGAUCGGGAGCGCUCAGAGAUGGGUGUGCCUCUUUUGGGGUCGGUUCACAGGUGGUGCAUGGCUGUCGUCAGCUCGUGCCGUGAGAUGUUGGGUUAAGUCCCGCAACGAGCGCAACCCUUGUUCACUGUUGCCAGCACGUUAUGGUGGGGACUCAGUGGAGACCGCCGGGGUCAACUCGGAGGAAGGUGGGGAUGACGUCAAGUCAUCAUGCCCCUUAUGUCCAGGGCUUCACGCAUGCUACAAUGGCUGGUACAGAGAGUGGCGAGCCUGUGAGGGUGAGCGAAUCUCGGAAAGCCGGUCUCAGUUCGGAUUGGGGUCUGCAACUCGACCUCAUGAAGUCGGAGUCGCUAGUAAUCGCAGAUCAGCAACGCUGCGGUGAAUACGUUCCCGGG
rnacentral:rRNA from 1 species